rnacentral:misc_RNA from 1 species
GAUGAAGAACGUAGCGAAAUGCGAUAAGUAAUGUGAAUUGCAGAAUUCAGUGAAUCAUCGAAUCUUUGAACGCACAUUGCGCCCGCCAGCACUCUGGCGGGCAUGCCUGUUCGAGCGUCAUUUCAACCAUCAAGCCCCCAGGGGCUUGUGCUGGGGCCCUGCGGCUGCCCGCAGGCCCUGAAAACCAGUGGCGGGCUCGCUAGUCACACCGAGCGCAGUAGCACAUCUCGCUCAGGGCGUGCGGCGGGCUCCUGCCGUGAAACCCCCCACUGUAACCCCAAAGGUUGACCUCGGAUCAGGUAGGAAUACCCGCUGAACUUAAGCAUAUAAUAAGCGGAGGA